rnacentral:rRNA from 1 species
UACGUAGGGUGCGAGCGUUAAUCGGAAUUACUGGGCGUAAAGCGUGCGCAGGCGGUUUUUUAAGCCAGAUGUGAAAUCCCCGGGCUCAACCUGGGAAUGGCAUUUGGGACUGCAAGGCUUGAGUUUGGCAGAGGAGACUGGAAUUCCUGGUGUAGCAGUGAAAUGCGUAGAUAUCAGGAGGAAUACCGAUGGCGAAGGCAGGUCUCUGGGCUAUAACUGACGCUCAUGCACGAAAGCGUGGGGAGCAAACAGG